rnacentral:lncRNA from 1 species
AGAGUUUCCGAGGACUGAAAUUCUGCCGGGAAGUUCCGAAAUACUAUCCAGAAGCUAGAGGAGGCUCUGUCCGGCUUCUGAUCAGUCCAGUCCAGUCCAAUCAAGACAUUGACGUUGGGUUUUGGCUAAGCACUCUCCGAUCAACCAGCUGCUCACUGGCCUAGAACACUGUGAGUUGGUUUUGUUUGAAUUCCACUUGGAAUUUAGGGUAUAUCGAGUCUGCAUAAAGAUUAGAAUAAUCACACUGUUGCAUGAUAGAGUCCUUAAGGUUAUUUAUUAAACCGGACU